rnacentral:rRNA from 1 species
AGGUUAACCCAGUGGAGGUAGUUUGGGCCACCUCCCAUCCGUGUCUAUUGUACCCUGUUGCUUCGGCGGGCCCGCCGCUUGUCGGCCGCCGGGGGGGCGCCUCUGCCCCCCGGGCCCGUGCCCGCCGGAGACCCCAACACGAACACUGUCUGAAAGCGUGCAGUCUGAGUUGAUUGAAUGCAAUCAGUUAAAACUUUCAACAAUGGAUCUCUUGGUUCCGGCAUCGAUGAAGAACGCAGCGAAAUGCGAUAACUAAUGUGAAUUGCAGAAUUCAGUGAAUCAUCGAGUCUUUGAACGCACAUUGCGCCCCCUGGUAUUCCGGGGGGCAUGCCUGUCCGAGCGUCAUUGCUGCCCUCAAGCCCGGCUUGUGUGUUGGGUCGCCGUCCCCCUCUCCGGGGGGACGGGCCCGAAAGGCAGCGGCGGCACCGCGUCCGAUCCUCGAGCGUAUGGGGCUUUGUCACAUGCUCUGUAGGAUUGGCCGGCGCCUGCCGACGUUUUCCAACCAUUCUUUCCAGGUUGACCUCGGAUCAGGUAGGGAUACCCGCUGAACUUAAGCAUAUCAAUAAGCGGAGGAA